rnacentral:rRNA from 1 species
UGGGGAAUAUUGGACAAUGGGGGCAACCCUGAUCCAGCGAUGCCGCGUGGGUGAAGAAGGCUUUCGGGUUGUAAAGCCCUUUCGGCGGGGAAGAUGAUGACGGUACCCGCAGAAGAAGCCCCGGCUAACUCCGUGCCAGCAGCCGCGGUAAUACGGAGGGGGCUAGCGUUGUUCGGAAUUACUGGGCGUAAAGAGCGCGUAGGCGGUUUGUUAAGUCAGGCGUGAAAGCCCCGGGCUCAACCUGGGAAUUGCGCUUGAAACUGGCAGACUAGAGACCGGGAGAGGGGAGUGGAAUUCCCAGUGUAGAGGUGAAAUUCGUAGAUAUUGGGAAGAACACCAGUGGCGAAGGCGACUCCCUAGACCGGUACUGACGCUGAGGCGCGAAAGCGUGGGGAGCAAACAGG